GUCACGUCAAUUACUAGCAAUGAGCAAGUCAGGAUGGGAUAGGGGGCAACGAGCUGAUUGCAGGGGGGUCCCAGGAGUCUCCCGAUAUGAUAGAGCUGUGGGCUGCACAUGCGCACAGCUGCUACAUUCAUUCUCUAUGCUCCCAUAGCAACUGCCCGCAUGCACUACCCGAGGCUCCAUUCUAACCAGGAGCAGGAACGUGAACACAUAGACUAGAAAGGGAACUUGAGCCCCUGCCCUUUUGAUGCCUCCUCCUCAGGUGCCCUUUUUUUUCCAGGACAGCACUUCUGCUGAUGGCAGUAAUGUCAAGUCUUAGAAUCAGGCAAAAACAGCAGCCACUGCUCUAGUACACCAAGAGAGAAAAGAGUCCCUGAUCUUGUUCAGUAAGCCGCAAUGCACCUGACCUAGAGAAUGUGUCCAGACAGAGCCCAAGGAGUUUGGUCACUCGUCCGGAUACCCAGAAGCAAUUCCAACUUGGUUUUUAAUACUGUCUGUAACCGAGAGUGUUCAUAUGCCUGAAGAAGAGCCCGGUCAGGGUUGAAACGCUUGUUACUGUUGCGUUGCAUGUUUUAUUGGAAUAAAAUACUUUACAUAAUCUG